AUACGGAGGAUGCAAGCGUUAUCCGGAUUUAUUGGGUUUAAAGGGUGCGUAGGCGGUUUGCUAAGCGGGAGGUGAAAUGCCGGCGCUCAACGUCGGAAGUGCCUCCCGAACUGGUGGACUGGAAUGACUCUGCCGUGGGAGGAAUGUGUAGUGUAGCGGUGAAAUGCUUAGAGAUUACACAGAACACCGAUUGCGAAGGCAUCUCACGAAGGGUUGAUUGACGCUGAGGCACGAAAGCGUGGGGAUCAAACAGGAUUAGAUACCCUGGUAGUCCACGCAGUAAACGAUGAUGGCUAACCGCUGGUUUUUUCGGAUCAGUGGCUAAGCGAAAGCGAUAAGCCAUCCACCUGGGGAGUACGACCGCAAGGUUGAAACUCAAAUGAAUUGACGGGG
rnacentral:rRNA from 1 species